rnacentral:lncRNA from 1 species
CGGGGCGGCGGGCGGGACGGUGUGCACCUGCGCGGUGUGUUUCCCGGCCGGGGCCCCGCGCCAGGUGCAGCUCCUUGAUCCGAGCCGGAUCCUGAGCCGGGAACACGGGCUGAAGCGGCGGCGGCGGCCCCGCCCCGGGGCUCCAUUGUUGAGGCUGCGGCGGCUCUGUCGGCUGCUCAGCUGCGCUCCAGUCGGCCCAGGCGCCGCGGCGAGGAGCUAGCGCUGCGAGGCGGCGGCUUGAGGGUUCAAGACUGUCAGAGCUGGGAGCCACCUUCACAACUACCAGGGUUUCCGGAACCUCCUUCUUCUAGCCCUGGGGAUGGAAGAGAUGUCAUCAGAGGUGAAGGCUUAUUAGGUUUCCAUGCCAUUGAUAACGAAUGAGGAGGUUUUCUUUUAUAUAAGGGGAGCUUCUUAUAACGUGCUUUAGUAGGGUAAAGAAGCUUUUGAGGUUUGCUCUCUCUGGAAAGAUAAUUUGUGAUCCUGCCCUUGCUUUCAACAAAAAUAUAAUUUGCAUACCAGUGCAUUUUGUAU